GACAACAGUUGUCAGAUGAUCUCACCAGCUGUUUUCCCUCAGGAGUCGCCUGCAGUUAAGAGUGUUGAGGGUCUAAUGACAGCUUUCUCCUCUGUGUCCUUCCAAAUCUCUGUCUUGUUUUUCCCUCUGUUGUUCUUUCUCUGCACAGGAAGAGGCCGUUUCCGUUCUUUACAAAGCUCCUUAUAGCUGCACAUGUUACACAUCACUUCUGUCAUCGGUGUCACAUUAUUGUUUGUUUUUGUUAAAGUUAAACAACACUGCAAAAUGAUUUCUACAGACGACCUCUCCUGGAACAAAACCUCUAAUCUUUCAUAACCACCAUGAAAACAGCUGAGUGGAGCGACACAUCAGAAACAAUACUUAUCUUAGUGAAUGUAUUUAUCACAAAAUAUUGAUGACAAAGUGAAGAAAAACCUAAAUAAGAGGAGUAUGAUGAUAAUAAAGUCAUUGUUGAUAUCUGGUUUGAACAGAACUCACCCACUCUCUUCCAGCAGCCGCUUGUUUGUAGCAAAACCUUGGGCCAGUCCAUUGCGGACUACAGCGGGGUGACACAGCUCAAGGAAGAACAUUUAUGAUCAUUUCUUCAUGGAAAUGCAAUCAGACCGACACGCUAAGACAAGAACUUCCGCGUCUGCAGUGCAAAAUGAUUAAUAUGAUGAUUAUUACCUCAAGGAAAUGAUAAAGUAAUGAAUGUGCUAAACAUUCGUUUAUCUUCGCCUCGGUCACUUCACUCUUACCUGCCUCCAUGAAAGGGGCCGCCAAAGGUGCGCGAGAGCUACCCACUGCAGCCUCUGAGCUAGCAUGACUCUGGCAGUCAUUGUCAUCUAAAUGUAAUUUAAGGAGGUGGAGAGUAUUUACAUAGUGAAAGUGGGUUAGCAUGGCGCUAACAUCUACACAACAGACAGGACCCGGAGGAGUUAAACGUUACCUUGAUGACGCCGAGACGUUAGCUCCGCUCCAACUUUUGCCUGCUCCAGUCUCAACUUCGCUAUAUAGCGAAUCAAACAGGUUACACUUCCGCUAAUUAACCUUCAACUUAAUUAAAACUGUGUUGCAGUAGCCCUGGUAUCAUCUUUUUACGUGAAACACAGCCGAACUCUGGGGCGCUUUUGCCGCGACGACAUUUUGUAAAGUUCUACACUAAAACGCACUUCUCGUGUACGACGUCAUCGCGCAUAGAGACGUGAGAAGAACCGAAAAGCAGAAUCGUCGAGGAGGCAGACGAACAAUUCUUAGGAAUCGAAUCACUGGAAGUGAUUCUAGAAAAGAACCGAUUGAUCGAUUCUCAUUCCUAAAAAUGAAGCGAUAACAAUAUUUAGUUAUUGCUCUAACUUCAGUUACAUGUUGGACUAAAAUAAUAAUAAUAGUAAUAAUAAUAAUAAUUGUAUUUGUAUAGCACUUUUAAAAACAGAAGCUUACAAAGUGCUUUGACAUAUAGUCAUAAAGCACAUGGAAGAACACAGAUAAAAACAAAAAGCUCAGUUAAAACGGAAUUGAAGGUCAUUUUCAUGUCAUAAGGAACCCAGACAAUACAAGAAAAAUGCAACAUAAAAUGAGACCAUGAGGACCAAAAUAAAAUGUAAAAUAGUUAAGAAAAAAGAAAAUGUGAUUAAAAGGGGGGUCGAAAGCAGAAACAGAAUAGUAAAUAUAAAAGGCAAUAUCAGCAAUGAUAAUGAUAAAUGAUAACAGGUAAUACUGAUAAUAAUAGUAAUGAUAAAAUAGAGCAACAGAAAUGAGAAGGAGAUCAAACAAUAUGAGCAAAUGAUCAGAAAACCAUAUAAAUAUGUUGGCUAAAAAAAAUUAGUCUACUUUUUUAUCUUUCUGUAACUACACCUCCACUGAAAUGAAUGAUACCGUUUAGGUAAGAAAUGCACCCUUCAGCUCUCUUUACUGGAGACCGUACUUAUUCAGAUAUCCAGAUCAAGUCAUUUUCUUUGUUAAGCUGCAUAAUAUCCUGCAAACACUGUCCAUCAGCUCUGAGUUUCUCCUUGUUUGGUUUCCUGGUCUGACGUCUUGGGCAAACUGAGGAAACUGGAGGCACCGCGGCGGGUUUAAACAGGAAGGAUCCUCUUUUUGGAAAACAACGGCUAUUUCAGAUCAGGUAUGCAUCGACACGGGAGAACACCAUGUAGGAGAGGGGAAAUCCUUUGUUAUUUCUUUGAGGAAAAAUGUCUGAAAGUGUUGAUGUAAGAGGCGAAGAGAGGGGCUGAUACUCACUGAUGAUCACGGCUUUAUCUCGAAUUCAUCAAAAAUAAUCAUAACUUUUCCCAUAAUUAUGAUUAAGAGGGUGUUUAAGUUUCAUCUUUGAGUUGCAGAAACUGUCACUGAGCCCUUCAGUUCACUCUCCUGCUUCAGCUUUCCUCUCUAAUCACACACACACACACACACACACACACACACACACACACACACACACACACACACACACACACACACACACACACACACACACACACACACACCUUUCGUGACCCUGCAUCCUCUCUAUGAUGAGUUUCCACUAAUGAGAGUGUGUGACAGCUCAUACUGACACAAUCAACAGUCAUCACGCCGUCUUUCAUGUGAGAGUCUCCGGUCCUCGCUCUGCUCUCCUCUCUGGGACUGAACGUUGUCGUCUUGCAGAAAUUACACCCCUCCGACACCACAGCAGCCCAGCAGUUCACAGGGGCUGCUGGUAUUUGGGGCCCCAGGCCAAAACCUUUCAUCUGGGGGCUUUGGGAAGAGCACCGGUCUGGUCUCUUCAAACACAGGGAGAGAUAAUGGCUUAGAGAAACAGAGGGAGGGGAAACGGCUGUCACACUGGCUGAGAGCGGGGGCUGCAGCCGCUGACACUCACUGAGGAGAGGUUUUAGGAGGUGUUGACGGCUAAUCUGGCGGCCUGUUUAGAUUUUAUGAGGCUUUAUUUGGAAAAAGGUAAUGAAGCUUGGUGUCACUUGGAAAAGCUGGGCCCGUCUUUCUCAGAAAUCCACGAAUAAAGGACGAGUAACUUCAGGUCUUAGAGGCGGCAGUGCAACUUCUGAGCGGCUUUUAAACUCUCAUUUAAAAAGCUAUAAUACUUUCAGACCUUUUAUGAAAAUAGAUGCUUUUUUGAUAUAGUAAUAUUUGUUUGAAUCUAACUGACUGCCACAGUUAUUUCAAUAGAUGCGAGUGUCAGAAUCAGUCUCUGAUGCUGCCUUAAAUGUGGUGUCUACAGCUGUGGGUAUGUCUUUAAAAGCCUCCCCAAAACUAUCAGAUUUUACUAUGUGAUUGUAACUAACAGUGAAAGCUUGUAGAAAUGCCAGCAAAAACAUGGCCUCUUUCAAAACCUCGCUGGUAAUAAAGAGAGAAAUGAAUUGGCAAACACUGAAGACUAGGAAUUAUUACUGGAAAGGAAAAAAGUGUCUGCACACAGAAGAGAAUCCACGACAAACCAGCAGCCUGAUUCAUAAAUUACGUAAAGGAAAGAGCUAAAUUAAAGUCCAAAACAUCUGUUUCAUUAGGAACGAAUGAGCUGAUGUAACGGCUGAAGACGACCGGCUUCAAACAGCAGCCAGACUGACCUCAAGCUUGGAUGUGGUGGAACUAUUUCCUGCGUAAAUCUGAAAAUCAACAGCGCAAAAAGAAAAUCAAUCCAAAAAGAACAGAAUAUCUGACCCUGUGGUGCCAGGUAAAAACAACAGAGGACCAAGGACAGACCCCUGUGGUACUCCAUGCCUAAAAGCACAAGGAUCUGGGAAAUUUUAAUAUUGAAAGACACAAAACAACCCAAAACACUCAUUGUGGUUAAAGAAGUUUUGAAAUGUGUUAUCUUGUGUACUUAAGGCAUCUGUUGGUACUUACAAACCAAAGACAAUAUCGAGCGUCAGUGAUGACGAAUGAAGAUAAAAACAUCCAAAUCUUGUCACUCAAACCUCGACCAGAGAAGUUUAUAAGGACAUGCGAAACCUCUUCGUGCCACAAAUGUCGUAACAACACUUUUAUGAUGUGACUGUAUGAUGAGUCACCCUCUGAAUUUGUACAUUUCUCUGGAGUGAGUCAAUAAAUUACUGUUUUGGAGUAAAUUGGGGAGGAGCUGCAUUUUUGCAGCUCACGGUGUUGGACAAACUGACUGUAGUUGUGGGUUUGAAUGAUGACAAGAAGAGUAUGGUGACUCAAUUAUGGUGACCUAUCAGUGCCAAACAUCCGUAUGUGAGCAUGCUAGUCUGCUAUUGUAAUCAUAUUGAACCUGUAAGUACAGAAUAAUCUGACUGUGUUGUCCAACUGAAUACGAGUUUCUUUGUACUUUAAUUUUUUACAGUAUUAACCAGGUUGUGGACAAAGAGAAGAAUUGAAAUCAAUUGAAAAAAAUAAUGUAAACCUCAGACACACCCACGCACGCAUCACUGAAAAUUUCAAGACAUUGUCGGGAGAUUAACCCAAUUUUUGGUGGACUUUCCCAAACCAGCCUUCCUGCAAAAAGUUUGUAUAAAAUCAGGAUAAUGUUUCAAGUUUAUUUAUUAUUGGGUAUCUUGUUUGUUAAACGUCUGUGUACACGUCGUGAUAUAAAUCUCUCGAAAUAAUCUCUGUUGUGUUUUUCUGCACGUAUUUUGACCAUGAUUGUCCCACCUGUCCACAAAAAAUGAUUUAUAAACUCGCCGGUGGGUCUUGUUGUUUGUUUGUUUUCUUCAGUUUGAAAGAUGUCUCUUUGAAUCAGCUGUUGCCGUGGGAAACGAACCUUUAUAAAUGUGCCAGAUUCCUCUCAGAUUGAUUGACAGGUUUUAUGUGAUAUCAUUGACUGUCAUAAUAAGAGUAAAACAGGAGAAACUUUGCACUCUUUACAAUGGAGUAAAAGGUGUACAUAUAUUGGUAUCAAUAUCUGUAUCGACCAUAUCGUUGUGUCUGAUUUUGACCACUCAGAAUCGAGUAUUAACACAGGAGGGUGAUAAUCUGCUAUUAAAACCUCUUUUGUCAAGAUAAACACAUGAUGAAAAUUCCUCACUGCAGCUUUAACCAGACAGUUGUUUUCUACAUCAAACAGCUGUUUUCUAAUUGUGAGGGAGGCGUUUGAUUUCCACUCUGUCUGUUUCCCAAAGGAAGACUGUAAUUGCAGGAAUGUGGGAAUGCCGCCUCCAAACAAAUAGUAAAACCAGAAUACAUGCUGUCCUUGAUUGUUCACCACAGACGUGAUUAAAAAUGGAACCCUUGACAUCCUGGUUUCCCUUCAGGGCAGCUUUUCCCUCAACAUUCCCAAACCGACCAGCACAUCCUCCGUCCUGCUGAGACCGUGGUGGUCUUUGGUUUCUGUUAUGCUGGCUGGGUGUCAGUCAUGUCACACGGAAAAGACAGGAGUGGCUGACCACAGAGGAAAGCAUCGCGUGCAGGAUUCAGAGAGACUCGGGACUUAAAGUUUGGAAAACUUCAGUGCUGUGGGUCUUCAGAGGGGUGGCGGUGUCAGAUUUAGGAUUCAGUGUCAGGAGGGCAGCCUCCAUCUGCACACAGAUAUCUACACAUCAGUCAGAUAUUCAGGGGCAGCACACUCUCAGAGGAGAACUGGAAUUUCUUUUAUUAUUUCAGCCACUGACUGAAAUACGAGUUCAUAUAACUGUGUUCGCCGUGUUACUGAAGGCCACGGCCAAACUGAGGUAUAAAAUAUGCACAGUCAGCCUCCACAUACCAGGCAGAGAGGGAGUUGGCAGCUUUUACACUUAAUGUGAAGCAAUUUACACAAACUUUGAAAAUGCUAAAACAUUCCUACAGAAACAGUUGAUCUAUUCCCAUCUUUCUUGGUUGCAAAUUACAGCCUGUCAUCUGAUUCCUUUGCAUGAAAUAUGAAGGUUUGCCCCAAAAAACAACAAUAGGAUGUGUUGUUUGGAGCUGAUUCUGGCUUUGAAACAAGCUAUGCAAACCAGCAAAGACCGAAACAGAGUCCAACGCAGAAAUACAAGAAGUCCGAGGCGUAUCCAGCUCAAUCAGUGCGACAGACUUUCAGAGGAAACUUGGCACAGCAUCGCAGGGCAUGGAGCACAUAAACACACCUGUAUUUAUUUCUGUAAGUGAAAAUGGACAAUGAGGAAAUACUGCUUCUCUUGAGUGGAUAAAGAAAGAAAAAACAUUUGAAAUCUGUCCCUCUGAUGGAAAACAUGAUUUAUACUCCCAAACUUCUGCUGUCAGGCUCACUCUGAGAAAAAGCAGUGAAGUACACCUGAGCUGUAAACUCCUGAUGAGGAUUUUCCUGGAUUUACACCACGUUAAAUUAUAAGAGUUUUCCUUUGAAAGGAGACAGUCAUGAAGUUUGCACUUUGGGUCAAAUAAAAUAAACAUUAGACGAGUGAAGCUGCUGUUGUGUUGUUGUCAAUCAUUGUGUCAAAGAUGAAGAAAAAAAGAACUUUAGUUGGGUUUCACUUCUUUUUAAGCGGGUGAGUCGAGGUCAAGAGAGGGGUCAACUGGUCUGACCCGACCCCAGUUAACUGAACAAUGAUGCAAACAGAAUCCAGGCUGCAUCUGUGUGCAAGAUGGACUCAUGAGGACUAUCUGUGAAGGUCUUUGUGUUUGAAUCACAUCUUGAGUGUCCUAAUUCCUUCAGUAGGGGAGACCGGGGCUUGUUGUCACACGGGUAAGUUGUCGCACUGCAAUUAUCUUCUCCACCAGAGGGCGCAACUAAAAAGUGGAAUACUAGUUUUACUCUUUUACAUGAUCAGGGGUCGUGUCCUGUCUGAGAAGAGAAGAGCACAUUGUGAGCUGAGAUGAGCGCCAAUUAACCAUUUCGCACAACCGAAAGUAAAAAAUUUUUACUUUAUAUAUUUUAAAAUAAACUUCUUCCAGAUAAAAAUCCUUGCAGUGAAACAUGUGGACCUGAUAGAGGCGCGAUUAAGACAUUCUGUCAUACCUCAGUCAUUGUUCUGUUUAAACUAACUUUAAUCUAGAGCUUUAAUUAGCAAACAUGGUAGUUUGGGGCAACAUAUCUCAGUCAUUUUGGGGUUAGUUUUUACAUGUUUAAAGGGGAUUAAAAUUAACAUAUAGAGUCUGUUUAUCAGCUGUUGUCAUAUUGACAUUUUGAUUUUAUUUUUAUGGAGAACAGAGUGCUUUAAAGGGGAGGAGAAAGUGAGGAGACAUGGUCAGGAAUUACAGAAGAAAAACUGAACAUGUCAGUGCAGUUCCUGACGUGAUGCUGAGGACAGUCAGACAGGUGACCCAAGCUAAUAAAUCAAUCUGGCGGACAAUAAAGGACUUUAAUGACAACUACUAUACCUUGGCUUGGUACACAUUUUGUUUAUAUAUGAUGUAAAUAUAUAGUGUAAAUACUUUAUAUAUUAUCUCUAUAAUUUAACUUAUUUUAACUUAUUUUAUCUAUUAUUUAUCUCCUGUUUUUACUGUAUUUGCACUGGAGUACUGUGACAAACGCAAUUUCCCCCUGGGGAUCUGAUCUGAUCUAAUGUAUUUAUUCCAAUAAAUAUACAAGAGUGUAAAAAGUGUGACAACAAGCCCCGGUCUCCCCUAUUUGACCUCAUGUAUUUUGUUAUCGUCGCCAUGGGGCAGGCUCGUCUUUUAACGUAAUAACAUACACUUUGGUGCACUUAUGUUGAUUUGCUAGUGCAACUGCUAACGCCAUGACCAUCUGCG